GACGAACGCUGGCGGCGUGCCUAAUACAUGCAAGUAGAACGCUGAAGGAGGAGCUUGCUCUUCUGGAUGAGUUGCGAACGGGUGAGUAACGCGUAGGUAACCUGCCUGGUAGCGGGGGAUAACUAUUGGAAACGAUAGCUAAUACCGCAUAACAGUAGAUGUUGCAUGACAUUUACUUAAAAGGUGCAAUUGCAUCACUACCAGAUGGACCUGCGUUGUAUUAGCUAGUUGGUGGGGUAACGGCUCACCAAGGCGACGAUACAUAGCCGACCUGAGAGGGUGAUCGGCCACACUGAGACUGAGACACGGCCCAGACUCCUACGGGAGGCAGCAGUAGGGAAUCUUCGGCAAUGGACGGAGGUCUGACCGAGCAACGCCGCGUGAGUGAAGAAGGUUUUCGGAUCGUAAAGCUCUGUUGUAAGAGAAGAACGAGUGUGAGAGUGGAAAGUUCACACUGUGACGGUAUCUUACCAGAAAGGGACGGCUAACUACGUG
rnacentral:rRNA from 1 species